rnacentral:rRNA from 1 species
AACCGGAUUAGAUACCCUGGUAGUCCAUGCCGUAAACGAUGAGUGCUAAGUGUUGGAGGGUUUCCGCCCUUCAGUGCUGCAGCUAACGCAUUAAGCACUCCGCCUGGGGAGUACGACCGCAAGGUUGAAACUCAAAGGAAUUGACGGGGGCCCGCACAAGCGGUGGAGCAUGUGAUUUAAUUCGAUGCUACGCGAAGAACCUUACCAGGUCUUGACAUCUUCUGCUAACCUAAGAGAUUAGGCGUUCCCUUCGGGGACGGAAUGACAGGUGGUGCAUGGUUGUCGUCAGCUCGUGUCGUGAGAUGUUGGGUUAAGUCCCGCAACGAGCGCAGCCCUUAUUGUCAGUUGCCAGCAUUUAGUUGGGCACUCUGGCGAGACUGCCGGUGACAAACCGGAGGAAGGUGGGGAUGACGUCAAAUCAUCAUGCCCCUUAUGACCUGGGCUACACACGUGCUACAAUGGACGGUACAACGAGUCGCGAAACCGCGAGGUCAAGCUAAUCUCUUAAAGCCGUUCUCAGUUCGGAUUGCAGGCUGCAACUCGCCUGCAUGAAGUUGGAAUCGCUAGUAAUCGUGGAUCAGCAUGCCACGGUGAAUACGUUCCCGGGCCUUGUACACACCGCCCGUCACACCAUGAGAGUUUGUAACACCCAAAGCCGGUGAGGUAACCUUCGGGAACCAGCCGUCUAAGGUGGGACAGAUGAUUAGGGUGAAGUCGUAACAAGGUAACC